rnacentral:rRNA from 1 species
AUGAAGGUCGUGAAUCCGCCGGGCAGUUCUUCUCUCACGCGGCCGACCGCUCGCUGCUCGUCCGGCGGCGGCCUACUAUGCGGGGUGCUGCCGAUGCGAUCGACCAGAGAUCCCCGGCCUGCCGUCGCCAGAGUCGCCAAGAACAGGCCGGAAGUUGGAGGAAAUGCUGCGAGCAUGCCAAAUCCGGUCGAGAAGAAGGCUAGAGAGACUCGAACAAAGAAGCAGCUCCACAAACCUCAAGACGAGCCAACUUAUCAGGAAAGUAUACAUCUCCAACUUUCCAUGGUGGAUGUGCUCCAAAAGAUCGGUAUAUCUCGGCAUUUUGCCAGUGAGAUCAAGAGUAUCCUGGAUUUUACAUACAGAUAUUGGUUACAAAGAGAUGAAAUCAUGCUGGACGCAGAGACAUGUGCCAUGGCGUUCCGCAUCUUACGGAUGAAUGGGUACAGCGUAUCAGCUGAUGGCCUGUCACAUAUCUCCACCGAUCUGAGUGACACGAGAUCUUUGUUGGAAUUGUACAAGGCUUCACAAGUUGGCACUUCAGACGAUGAGUUGAUUCUGGAUAUUAUAGGAUCCUGGUCAGGUUACCUACUGAGGCAACAACUGAAAUCUAAUGAUGCACAAAGAACCCUACUCCUAAGAGAGGUAGAACAUGUUCUUGAUAGCCCCUUCUACACCAUGUUGGAUCGUCUGGAACAUAAGAGGAACAUCGAACAAUUUGACGUAAUCGAGCAUCCCAUCCAACAACUGACUUGGCAAACAAAUCAAGAUCUUCUAGCUUUAGGUGUCAUGGAUUUCAGUACAAGUCAAUCUAUAUACCAAGAAGAAUAUCAGUAUCUCGACAGUUGGGUGAAAGAGAGCAAGCUGAACCGGCUACCUUUCGCACGACAGAAGUUGGCAUAUUUCUACCUCUCAGCUGCCAGCACCAUGUUCCCUCCAGAGCUAUCUGAUGCUCGCAUCCUAUGGGCCAAGAAUGGUGCGCUCACAACGGUUGUCGAUGACUUCUUUGACGUUGGGGGAUCAAAAGAAGAAUUGCAGAACCUCACUGCAUUAGUCGAGAUGUGGCAGAAGCAAGAGGAAACCGAGUACUACUCUGAACAAGUCAAGAUCGUGUUCUGUGCAAUCUAUAGCUCAGUGAACGAACUUGGAUCAAAGGCUUCCGCAGUGCAAGGUCGCGAUGUCACCGGACACCUAGUAGAAAUCUGGCAAGAAUUGCUACGGAAUAUGAUGACCGAGGUGGAAUGGAGAACGACCGGAUACGUUCCAACUCUAGAUGAGUACAUAGAUAAUGCAGUUGUGACAUUUGCGUUGGGCCCUAUUGUGCUUCCUGCAUUGUAUUUUGUUGGACCAAAGAUUACUGAGUCUAUGGUCACAGAUCCUGAGUACAGUGAGUUGUUUAGGUUGAUGAGCACUUGCGGCCGUCUUCUCAAUGACGUCCAAACCUACGAGAGGGAGUACAAAGAGGGUAAACUGAACAGUGUCUCUCUGCUCGUGCUUCAUAGUGAUGGCUCCGUGACCAUACCAGAGGCCAGGAGGAAGUUGCAGAAGCCCAUAGACACGUGUAGAAGAGACCUACUAAGGUUGGUCCUUAAGGAGGACGAUGCCGUGCCUAGGCCUUGCAAGGAAUUGUUCUGGAACAUAUGCAAGACAUGCUACUUUUUCUAUUACCAGGGAGACGCAUUUAGCUGCCAAGAGGAGAAGGCCGGUGCGGUGGAUGCGGUGAUACAUGAUCCACUCCAACUCCCGAUGAAUCUACUCUCUGACCUUGAUUAUUCUACUUGGCGUGAGAGAAUAAAGAUCAAACAUUAA